CACUUUUUAUCUGCCACGCUAUUGAAAAGCUGGAUGUUCUAUCUUUUUAAAAGGACUUGAGCCCGGCGUGGUGGCGUUCUCCUGUAAUCCCAGCACUCAGGAGGCUUGAGGCAGGAGUAUCGAAGUGAGUUCAAGACCAGCUUGGGCUACAUAGUGAGUUCC
rnacentral:lncRNA from 1 species